rnacentral:rRNA from 1 species
CCUACGUGCGGCAGCAGUGGGGGAUAUUGCACAAUGGGGGGAACCCUGCUGCAGCGACGCCGCGUGGGUGAAGCAGCUCUUCGGCUUGUAAAGCCCUGUUAGCAGGGAAGAACAUGACGGUAUCUGACGAAGAAGCCCCGGCUAACUACGUGCCAGCAGCCGCGGUAAUACGUAGGGUGCAAGCGUUAUCCGGAUUGACUGGGCGUAAAGCGGGCGUAGACGGCUGUGCAAGGCAGAAGUGAAAGCCUGGGGCUCAACCCCAGGACUGCUCUUGAAACUGCGAGGCUAGAGUGCAGGAGGGGCAGGCGGAAUUCCUGGUGUAGCGGUGAAAUGCGUAGAGAUCAGGAGGAACACCGGUGGCGAAGGCGACCUGCUGGACUGCAACUGACGUUGAGGCGCGAAAGCGUGGGGAGCAAACAGGAUUAGAUACCCGUGUAGUC